CGAGGGUGUCUUCCAAGCAUUCUAUGUAUGCUUGGCUCCAUUGAGGGAAGGGUUUUUGGCAGGUUGUAGGCAUUUUGUUUCUCUAGAUGGAUGCUUCUGUGUAUGGAGGGCAAUUAUUAUGUGCCGUUGGGAUAGAUGCAAAUGAUUGCAUCUAUCCCAUAUCUUGGGCUAUGGUUAGUAAAGAGAACAAAGAUAAUUGGAAGUGGUUCUUGGAGAUCUUGGCACAAGAUUUGAGGAUA